rnacentral:tRNA from 1 species
GGGGAAGUCUGUGGCUUAGGGGAAGAACCUCUGUUUUGCAUGCAGAAGGUCCCAGGUUCAAUCCCUGACAUCACCA